CUUCUAAAUAACACAUUGGGACAUGUGCAUCACUGUCUUGGUCUGCCUUUCCGACGCCCGACUGCAAUGUUGACUGGUAUUCAGGAUGUGUGGUCUUAAGAGGAUCUGUUGUGUUGGCAGUACACCGGAGAUGUUUCUGGUUCUACAUACAGCUCUGUUGUACUGGACAGGGCUGGAAUAGAGUCACUGCAGAGAUCAGGCAAAGGAGGUACUGCUUCACUUUCUGGUUCCAAUGGAUCCAUACAAUAAGGCCCAAUGAAGGCAGACUUUUGUGAAGACUCUAAGCAAAGAGACAUGCUGCAAGAUGAAUAGUUUGAACUAUCACUGUCAGAUAGUUUCUCAUUGGUGGAAAUGUUUAUUGUGUCAUUUUCAUCUGGGAUGGACUGCCCAGAUAGAGUCUCUGGUUCAUGCACCUGUACUAUAGUUUGAUUGUCUGUGAAUGGUCCUGCAGACCACUCAGGGUCAUUUGUGCAAAGUUGCGAGGGGUCCAUCAGGACUUGAGGAUAUCAACGUUCGCUGACCCAAGCAGUCAAACUGGAACUCCACAAUUUCUGGGACCAGGCUCUGUGUCCAGGGAUGAAUUACUGAUGUAACUUUCUGUUGUUGCUAUUCCCUAUUUUGAUUCUGGGAUUCAGUGCCUGAAAAGAGACAAAUACAAUCAUUGUUAGAACUCGUUGCCCAACUGUGAAUAACCCACCUGAAAAUGUCUUUCAAAUACAUUCUAUCUCCCUUUAUCCACUACUCAGAGGGAUGUGGUAAGGUGUUUGGGGUUUUGGUGGCUCUUUAUUCAGCUUAUCAAAACAAAGCUUUUCAUUACUGUUAUUACUCUGUUGAUAAAACGGCCUGCUGCUCAACAGCAGCCAAAGAUUACACAUUUCACUUUUCACAGUAAAUCACAGUAAAGCAGUUGUUUAUUUUUGUUGCUGUUGGUUUUUUUUU